UAUAUAUAUAUAUAUAUAUAGAAUUAGGCUGGAAUACUAUUAAUAGGAAAACGCUUUUUUUGUUAUCAAUUUUUAACCCUUGGAUGAAAAAUUGUAGGGUCAGGAUGAUAUUAGUCGGUUAGAGUUGAAUGGUCUCCCUAGUUUUGAGUGGUCCCCACUGGGUUAUAGUAUUUAAUCCAAUGGUUAGAAAUAAUGAAAAGAGUUGAUCCAAAGGCCAAAAAACUGAUAGCAACAAUAGGAUUUUGCUACUAAUAGUAGCCCAGUUCAACUAUAUAUAUAUAUAUAUAUAUAUAUAUAUAUAUAGCUCCUAUAUUGUACACGAGAUAAUAUAGGCGCCAUAACGGACACAAGAGAAAAAUUUUAAUGGACACCGCGAUUCAUUCAUCAUGUUUAGAAUAAAUAAAUAAAAUAAUUUAUUUAUCAUAUUUAACAAAAUAUAUUUUAAAUAACAAAAUAUUAAACCCCCUUCCAUAUCUUGACAAAAUAUAUUUUUCUCAACAAGAUAAUUAAAUCACCAUACUUACAAUAAUUUGUCAGCACGAUAGAUAAAUUACCAUAGUCACUUGAAAUUUUUCAAUGUGACGCCUUUGUUUAUGGAGCCGUUUGGCCUAAAUUCAGAAAAAAUAAUUUCUAUAGUAUUGAUUUUGAUCCGGAGAAAUAAUUUCUAUUAAAAGUUAUAAAGUUUUUUGGUUAAGUACAAUAGAAAAGUGAUUUUUUAAAAAUAAUUUUAGAAAGCUAGCUAUUUGGUAAAUUUUUGCGCUGAAAUAAUUUUGUAAUGCUGUUUAAUUUUAGUAAUAAUUAAUACUAAUAUUACAUGCUAUUUAUAUAUAAAAAAAAAACAAUAUGCUAAUAUUUGUAAAAAAAAGGUACAUGCUAACUUUACUCUCUAAAAAAAAAGUACAUGUUAAUUAUAUUUGUUAAUAGAUCUCAACUUAUCAAUAACUAGUAUUUGACCCGUGCGAUGCAUGGCUAAUAUAAUAAUAUAAAAUAACAAAAGUUAUUAUGUGAUGAUAAAAGAAAAACAUUAUAAUUAAUAUUAUAUUUUUUUUAACAAAUAAAGAAAUAUACUAUCAUUAAUCUUAAUUAUAGUACAUAUUAAAGUACAAAUGCUAGAAAAACAAAAUUAUGGAUCAAAGUAACACUUAGGUUGUAGUGUUCCUAAGGUUUGGAUAGAUUUGGCUAGAGUAUUAGUGACUGGUUUACAUAUCUGGAGAGUGUCGGACUGAGUCGGAGUCGUUUCUACAUGAAAUGGGUGAAGAAAUGGACUCAGCGCACUUAAAUAAGCAAAACUAAAGUUUUGCUAGUUUAGGGCGCCCAGAAAUGGAUUUAGGGCGCCCAGAUCUUGAGUGUUGUUUUGUGUUAGAUGCUGCAGCCAUUUCGGACCCUGUUUAGGGCGUCCGAAAGUUGGAUCCGAAAAUUUACAUCGUGAAUAUCGAUUGUGUUGACACGUGGGGUAUGGUAGGUGAGAUCAGCAGGAACCAGAUAGCGGUGUAGCAGACCGUCGGACGGAGAAACAGAGAUACUGUUUGUGCAGGCUAGAAGUUCUGGGCGUCCAGAACUGGAUUUAGGGCGCCCAGAUCUCGAUUUUUCUGCAAUAGUGCAGUUUAGCAGUAUUUAUUCCUGAGCCUUUUUGGACCCUUCUAGCACACUAUAAAUAGGGGGAAUUCAACCCCUUU
rnacentral:lncRNA from 1 species